UUUUGCGGUGGUGAUAGUGGUGGGGAAACGCCCGGUUAACCGUUCCGAUCCCGGCAGCUAAGCCCAUUCGCGCUGAUGGUACUGCAACUUGGUGGUUGUGGGAGAGUAGGUGACUGCCGCAAU
rnacentral:rRNA from 1 species